rnacentral:rRNA from 1 species
UACGGAGGGUGCAAACGUUGCUCGGAAUCAUUGGGCGUAAAGCGCACGUAGGCGGCCUAUCAAGUCGGGUGUGAAAGCCCUGGGCUCAACCCAGGAAGUGCACUCGAAACUGACAGGCUUGAAUAUGGAAGAGGGUCGCGGAAUUCCCGGUGUAGAGGUGAAAUUCGUAGAUAUCGGGAGGAACACCAGUGGCGAAGGCGGCGACCUGGGCCAAUAUUGACGCUGAGGUGCGAAAGCGUGGGGAGCAAACAGG